GAUUUUCAAAGAACACUGAAAAGCACUCAGCACAUCCAGAAUUGCACCCUGAGGUGAAUUACAGAAAGUGACUCCCAGAGCAUCUUGGCUGUAUGAACUCUUGAGCUGUCAAGGGACUGAGAGGCUUAUGAAGAGGUUCUGUCAGGCAAAACAGUGCUUAGCAAAGACACCGAGGAGGAGGGAAAAGGAGAAAGGGAGGGAGAAAGAGCUGAAACACUAACAAACCAUGAGAUCUAUCCGAUCUUUUGCUAAUGAUGACCGCCAUGUUAUGGUGAAACAUUCAACCAUUUAUCCAUCUCCAGAGGAACUUGAAGCUGUCCAGAACAUGGUAUCAACAGUAGAAUGUGCCCUUAAACAUGUCUCUGACUGGAUGGAUGAAAAGAACAAGUCUAUGAAAUGUGAAGGUGAUGCGGAAGCAAAGGAGGAAGGUGCAGAAAGCAAUGCCAAGGAUCAAGGUGGUCGGACGUUGUGUGGUGUUAUGAGAAUUGGCUUGGUUGCAAAGGGCUUGCUGAUAAAAGAUGAUAUGGAUCUGGAGCUGGUUCUCAUGUGCAAAGAAAAGCCCACAAAGACCUUGUUAUGUAUAGUUAAAGACAAUCUCCCAGCUCAAAUUCAGAAACUUACAGAAGAGAAGUAUCUCGUGGAGGAGCAUGUAAAUGAGGCAGCUAUUCUUAUUCGUAACACAAAGGAGCCCAAGCUGACUUUGAAGGUGAUACUUACAUCCCCUCUCAUUCGAGAUGAAGCAGAGAAGAAGGAAGGAGUAGAUAAUGUUGCGAUGAAAGAUCCUCCGGACUUAUUGGACAGGCAGAAAUGCCUGGAGGCCUUGGCGUCUCUGCGGCACGCCAAAUGGUUUCAGGCCAGGGCAAAUGGACUAAAAUCAUGUGUAAUUGUCCUUCGUAUUCUGCGGGAUUUGUGCAACCGAGUCCCCACAUGGGCACCACUGAAAGGAUGGCCACUCGAGCUUAUAUGUGAAAAAUCUAUAGGUACUUGUAAUAGACCUUUGGGCGCUGGGGAAGCAUUGCGACGAGUGAUGGAGUGUUUGGCAUCUGGAAUUCUGCUUCCCGGAGGCCCUGGUCUGCAUGACCCCUGUGAACGGGAGCCAACAGAUGCUUUGUCUUAUAUGACAGUUCAGCAAAAAGAAGCCAUUACGCACAGUGCUCAGCAUGCCCUCAGAUUAUCAGCGUUUGGUCAGAUCUAUAAGGUUUUGGAAAUGGAUCCCCUGCCAUCAAAUAAGUCAUUUCAGAAAUAUUCCUGGUCAGUAACUGACAAAGAAGGUACAGGCUCAUCUGCUCUUAAGAGACCAUUUGAAGAUAGUGUCGGGGAUGAUAAAGAUCCAAAUAAAAAGAUGAAGCGUAAUCUGAGGAAAAUACUAGAUAGUAAAGCAAUAGAUCUCAUGAAUGCUCUGAUGAGGCUGAACCAAAUCAGGCCAGGGCUUCAGUAUAAGCUGCUGUCACAGUCUGGUCCAGUCCAUGCCCCAGUCUUCACAAUGUCUGUAGAUGUUGAUGGUACGACAUAUGAAGCAUCAGGACCUUCUAAGAAAACAGCCAAGCUCCAUGUGGCAGUGAAGGUUUUACAAGCGAUGGGGUAUCCAACUGGUUUUGAUGCAGAUGUGGAGUGUACGAGUUCUGAUGAAAAAUCAGAUACUGAAGGUAAAAAUGAAACAAUGUCUUCAAUCUCAAGCAAUAAUACUGGAAAUUCCACAGCUGACACCUCUGCUACCCUAGAGGUAAGAACUCAAGGUCCUAUACUCACAGCAAGUGGCAAAAACCCGGUGAUGGAGCUCAAUGAAAAAAGAAGAGGUCUGAAGUAUGAGCUCAUCUCUGAGACAGGUGGAAGCCAUGACAAGCGCUUUGUGAUGGAGGUAGAAGUAGAUGGGCAGAAGUUCAGAGGUGCAGGCCCAAACAAGAAAGUAGCAAAAGCAAGUGCUGCAUUAGCAGCACUUGAAAAACUGUUUUCUGGGCCUAAUGCAGCAAACAACAAGAAAAAGAAGAUUCUUCCUCAGACUAAAGGGGUUGUCAAUACAGCUGUUUCUGCAGCAGUCCAGGCUGUUCGAGGCAGAGGACGAGGUGCUUUAACACGAGGGGCAUUUGUUGGGGCAGCUGCUGCUACUGGAUAUAUAACACCAGGCUAUGGAGCACCGUAUGGGUAUAGUACAGCUGCACCAGCUUACGCCAUAUGCACUUGUAUAAAAUAAGCAGAAAUGUAGUGACUGUAAGCUGAGAUCGUGAUAUAAAAGGUAAGAGAAUUUAUUUUCAGCUUAAAGAAUAUUUUUAUUGCCUUUUUUCUAAAAAUCUCAUAUACCUGUGACAAUCUUGUAUAUGGCACUUUUUUAUUAUGUCUUGUUUAACUAAAUGUUUAAACAGGUAAUAUGUAGGUCUGAAUUCCAACUUUGUAUUUUCCAAGGCCACUUCAAAUACUCCAGUUUCAGUUAAAAAAGAAAGUAACACUUCUAAGAAACUGUUUGGUUUUAUCAACAGACUGUUCUUCAAAUAUUCUUCUCUUGUGUAGCAUAAAAAGCUGUAUUGAUACUGCUGUGUGUCAGGCACUGCAUUUCUUGCAUACCUGUGGAAAACAUUUGGGUGCAAUUGAUGAGCCAUCAGAAUACCCUUCCCAUCUGGUGGUGCAGGUUUUCAUCUGCUGUUAUCUUAAAGGUGCAAACCUGGGGCUUGGUUUGAAGCUCACUUAAAAUUCAAUUCAUUCUUUCAGCCUGUCAGGCUAAGCAGUCCCGAUGGUGGGGCAGCAGGCUGCUCCGUUUCCUUCGGAAGACAGCACUUUAUAUGCAUCAAGGCAAUGUUAAGGUGCAUUAUAAUGAACUUCUCUUGAGUAUUCCUUUCCUAGGCUUAACUGAUGUCAGUCUGACAAGCACUGUCCAGUUCAAGGACUGAUUAAUAAAAUGUCUUGCUGACUCUUCUUUCAUCUGUCUCUUUGUGCCCUGUACUUGGCAGCUUAAUCCAUUUGUAUUGGUUUCCAUCAGAACUGCUUUGACUGUGAAUUUCCGUAUUUUUCUGUCAUUACCCUUUUAACUCUUACAAUCCUAAGCAUUCCCCUCUUUGGCUUUUUUUAAAUUCUUACUUUGUUGGAUCUUCUCUUUUUCACUGAAAUGAUACUAAAUUUCUCUAAUACGUUUUUGUUCAUAAUGCAAGUACUAAUUUACGAAAUUUGUCCCCUUGCCUUUGCUGCACCCCUUCUCAGUAGGACAGACACC